rnacentral:lncRNA from 1 species
AAACCCAUACAGACAAGCUGGGUUCAGAUCAAGAUGAAGGGAGAAGGCCGGACGAUGAGAGGGGAGUGAACCCUGGGCGUAAUGGUUCCACACCAAGAGAAGUUCUGAAGGUCAAGGUCCAGAAGCCAAGAUUCAGCUGGGCAGGCUGCAUCUCUACAAGGCAGCCUCAGAUGUUCAUUGUCAAAUGGAUGAACUGGGAAGAGAGAGAGAGAGAUGAGGGGUCGUUGUCCUUCCAUGUCCCUUCCAGCCUCAGCCUCAGGAGUGGCCCCAGUUUGCUGAUAUCACAGGAGAUCUGCUA